GAUGAACGCUGGCGGCGUGCCUAAUACAUGCAGGUCGAGCGAACGGACGAGAAGCUUGCUUCUCUGAUGUUAGCGGCGGACGGGUGAGUAACACGUGGAUAACCUACCUAUAAGACUGGGAUAACUUCGGGAAACCGGAGCUAAUACCGGAUAAUAUUUUGAACCGCAUGGUUCAAAAGUGAAAGACGGUCUUGCUGUCACUUAUAGAUGGAUCCGCGCUGCAUUAGCUAGUUGGUAAGGUAACGGCUUACCAAGGUAACGAUGCAUAGCCGACCUGAGAGGGUGAUCGGCCACACUGGAACUGAGACACGGUCCAGACUCCUACGGGAGGCAGCAGUAGGGAAUCUUCCGCAAUGGGCGAAAGCCUGACGGAGCAACGCCGCGUGAGUGAUGAAGGUCUUCGGAUCGUAAAACUCUGUUAUUAGGGAAGAACAUAUGUGUAAGUAACUGUGCACAUCUUGACGGUACCUAAUCAGAAAGCCACGGCUAACUACGUG
rnacentral:rRNA from 1 species